UACGUAGGGGGCAAGCGUUGUUCGGAAUUACUGGGCGUAAAGGGCGCGUAGGCGGCAUGGCAAGUCAGGAGUGAAAGGCCUGGGCUCAACCGAGGAACUGCUUUUGAUACUGCCAAGCUAGAGUGCGGAAGGGGCAACUGGAAUUCCCAGUGUAGCGGUGAAAUGCGUAGAUAUUGGGAAGAACACCUGAGGCGAAGGCGGGUUGCUGGGCCGACACUGACGCUGAGGCGCGAAAGCCAGGGGAGCGAACGGG
rnacentral:rRNA from 1 species